GACGAACGCUGGCGGCGUGCUUAAUACAUGCAAGUCGAACGGAGCCUAGCCGGUAGUUUACUACAGGCGAAAGCUUAGUGGCGGACGGGUGAGUAACGCGUGGGCAAUCUGCCCCUAAGUCCGGGAUAACAGAGCGAAAGUUCUGCUAAGACCGGAUACUCUUCCUUGGUCGCAUGGCCUGGGAAGGAAAGGAUACGCUUAGGGAUGAGCCCGCGUCCCAUUAGCUAGUUGGUGAGGUAACGGCCCACCAAGGCGACGAUGGGUAGCCGGCCUGAGAGGGUGGACGGCCACACUGGGACUGAGACACGGCCCAGACUCCUACGGGAGGCAGCAGUAGGGAAUUUUCCGCAAUGGGGGAAACCCUGACGGAGCAACGCCGCGUGAGGGAAGAAGGUCUUCGGAUCGUAAACCUUUGUCAUCGAGGACGAAAACUGACGGUACUCGAGGAGGAAGCCCCGGCUAACUACGUG
rnacentral:rRNA from 1 species